GAAGGAUUACCCAAGCGGUCAUAAGGGGGCAGUUUCGAAAACUGCUAGGUCGUCAAGAUGCAUGGGUUCGAAUCCCAUAUCCUUCGCCA
rnacentral:tRNA from 1 species